UGCACUUCAGCUGACAUUUUCCCUUGGAAAGCUUUUCUCUAGUUUCUUGCCUUGGGAAUAAUCACUGCUCAGUCUGUUAUGAACAACAAUAUC